AUUGAACGCUGGCGGCAUGCCUUACACAUGCAAGUCGAACGGUAACAGGUCUUCGGAUGCUGACGAGUGGCGAACGGGUGAGUAAUACAUCGGAACGUGCCUAGUAGUGGGGGAUAACUACUCGAAAGAGUGGCUAAUACCGCAUGAGAUCUACGGAUGAAAGCAGGGGAUCGCAAGACCUUGUGCUACUAGAGCGGCCGAUGGCAGAUUAGGUAGUUGGUGGGAUAAAAGCUUACCGAGCCGACGAUCUGUAGCUGGUCUGAGAGGACGAUCAGCCCCACUGGGGCUGGGACACGGCCCAGACUCCUACGGGAGGCAGCAGUGGGGAAUUUUGGACAAUGGGCGCAAGCCUGAUCCAGCAAUGCCGCGUGCAGGAUGAAGGCCUUCGGGUUGUAAACUGCUUUUGUACGGAACGAAAAGCCCCGGGUUAAUACCCUGGGGUCAUGACGGUACCGUAAGAAUAAGCACCGGCUAACUACGUGCCAGCCGCCGCAGUAA
rnacentral:rRNA from 1 species